GGAGACAGAGGCCUGAAGCAGCAGCGAAUGGUUUCAACCACAACUGUGCAGCUGGGUCAAAGUUCAUUGUGACUGACACGCCUCGAAUCUGGAAGCCGUUGCCAAGUUUCCAACAGGGAACACCGAAACGGGACUCACGGUUAAAGUCUCAGAUGAGUCCAAUUGUAAUGAAAAACCAAAGCGAGAAUUAUUGCUGCGCAUCGACUUUCAGAUUUAUGCAUAAUCGCACGUUCGCGGGGACGAACGGGUUCCAAAGGGCCGGGCGCCACGCACAAGAAUCGCUCACUCCGUUUUAGAAGAACACAAACAUUUUUUUUUUUUUUUGGUCAAAACAAAGCGGAUGAUGUGGAAGUGGAGUGUUUUCGACACAAAUAUUUGUAAAGGUUUGAUGAAGAGACA